AACGAAGAGGUAUCGUAAUUGAAGAGGUUUGGAAAGACCCACCACAGAAGGUAAUAGUCCUGUAUGUUAAACGAGAAGACUUUAGAUAUGAUCCAGAGUACCACGGGACACGUGAAACCCUGUGGGAAGCAGGAGGGACCACCCUCCAAGGCUAAAUACUACCUAGUGACCGAUAGCGUAUAGUACCGUGAGGGAAAGGUGAAAAGAACCCCGGGAGGGGAGUGAAAUAGAACCUGAAACCCUGCACUUACAAGCUGUGGAAGCACAUUUCUUGUGUGACCGCGUACUUUUUGUAGAACGGGCCAACGAGUUACGUUAAGUAG
rnacentral:rRNA from 1 species